rnacentral:lncRNA from 1 species
UGCUUGCUGUUUGCGAGUUAGCCCGCGUUUGGCUCGAAAUGAGCUCGAGAUCAAAUCGCUCGUUUAGUAAACGAGUCGAACAGGAGCUAAAAUUUUCAGCUCGUUUAAUAAACGGGCCGAACACGAGCUCAGCUCAGCUCGUUCGUAUUCGGCUCGAUAUCAGCUUAAAUACAUAUAUUUUAUAUUUAUAUAUAUAUAAAUUAAUAAUUAUAUAUAUAUUAUAAAUUUUUAUUAUUUAAUUUAAAUAUUAAAUCCAACUUAAUUAUAAAAUAAUUUAUUUAUAUAUAUAUUUUUAAUCUUAGACCAAAAUAUACGGAUAGGGUGCGGCCAAUUUGAAUCUGCUUGAUACAACAGUCUGUUUUG